rnacentral:rRNA from 1 species
CCUACGGGAGGCAGCAGUGGGGAAUAUUGGGCAAUGGGCGCAAGCCUGACCCAGCAACGCCGCGUGAAGGAAGAAGGCUUUCGGGUUGUAAACUUCUUUUCUCAGGGACGAAGCAAGUGACGGUACCUGAGGAAUAAGCCACGGCUAACUACGUGCCAGCAGCCGCGGUAAGACGUAGGUGGCAAGCGUGAUCCGGAUUUACUGGGUGUAAAGGGCGUGUAGGCGGGAAAGCAAGUCAGAUGUGAAAACCAUGGGCUCAACCUGUGGCCUGCAUUUGAAACUGUUUUUCUUGAGUACUGGAGAGGCAUACGGAAGUCCUAGUGUAGCGGUGAAAUGCGUAGAUAUUAGGAGGAACACCAGUGGCGAAGGCGGUCUGCUGGACAGCAACUGACGCUGAGGCGCGAAAGCGUGGGGAGCAAACAGGAUUAGAUACCCCAGUAGCC